AACCCCCCGCUAGGCGGGGGGGUCCGUAAAGCUUAAAGCUAUAGAGAUAUUAGUAAAACUCCUUUUGAUUUGCUAAUUAAUCCCUGCGGUCUGGCAACUGCAGGUGGCAAAUCAAAAG
rnacentral:sRNA from 1 species